UUACCCAUCGGGGCUGUGGAUAUCUGCUUAAAUUUU
rnacentral:ncRNA from 1 species